GUAUUCCUUUAUUGGAAACCCAUCCUUCCUUUCUCAUUGUAAAAAUUCCUGGAGUUCAUACUUCUAUACUUUCCAUGCAGAGGCUCAUGGAAGAAAGAAAAACAUUUGAAACAUGAGACAAUAUACUUCUUUAAAGUUUAACAAUGCAGAUGUAGCAAAUUCUGUAAUUACGCGAUUUAGGAGAAUCCAAAAUAGUUUUCCUCAACUAGUAGCAAGCAAUGAACACAAAAUGUGCCUAUUUAGAGUCAUGAUGGUUAUAAGUAAAUGCACAAUUUUGGUUGAUUUUCGCUAUUAUCACACAUCAUUAGGAAGAAUAGGUUCUAUAUUUUGAAAAUAAAAAGGUUCUCAAAUGUUUAUGAUUUGAAAAUGAAAUUUGAGAGUUUUUGUCAUUUAGAGAAAGAAAAUUUAAGAGUCACUCUCUUGAAAUCUUAUGGAAGAUGUUUGGAAGGCUCAGAUACAAGUUGCAAUAUGAGAAAUCAAAAUGCAGAAACAAAGAAGUAAACAGAAAUACAAAGCAAAAAGGAAACAAAUUGAAAGAGAAAAGCAUAUAAUGGGCUUGAUCUCAAAGAGCAUAUAUCUAUUGUUUGCAGAACUUUCCCAAACAGCAGUUUGAUUCUAACCACUUUUGGAGGCAUUUUAGUAGAAAUAAUGAACAAUACAAAACUCCCUGUGUAAAUAUCAGAUGAUUUCUAGUCUCAGUUUAGCCACAUCAUACAUCUCUCCUACCAAAGAUUUGGAAGUUUUUUUUAGAGUGAAAAUAAUGAUCCUUCCUCCCAGUUCCCUUCCCAAUUUAAAUAUAUGCAGUGUCUUCCUUCUGUUGCCCUGAAAAUGUCCUCCCAAAGGAGAUGAUUUCUUUGCCUUCUCAUUUCUUCUGUGCAAAAUCUUCAACACUCAGGGGCAUGCACUAACAGCAGAGUCAUGCUACAAGCCUGGGAUUUCCUUUCACAGGAAAAAGUAUACGAGAAGCAGUACAGAAA
rnacentral:lncRNA from 7 species